rnacentral:rRNA from 1 species
GGUUGCUUGCAAUUCCCCGAUGGCGACCGGCGCACGGGUGAGUAACGCGUAUCCAACCUGCCCUUCACCACGGGAUAACCCGGCGAAAGUCGGACUAAUACCGUAUGUUGUCCAUUGACGGCAUCCGAUUUGGACGAAAGGCUUGGCGGUGAGGGAUGGGGAUGCGUCCGAUUAGCCAGACGGCGGGGUAACGGCCCACCGUGGCGACGAUCGGUAGGGGUUCUGAGAGGAAGGUCCCCCACACUGGAACUGAGACACGGUCCAGACUCCUACGGGAGGCAGCAGUGAGGAAUAUUGGUCAAUGGGCGUAAGCCUGAACCAGCCAAGUAGCGUGCAGGACGACGGCCCUAUGGGUUGUAAACUGCUUUUAUGCGGGGAUAAAGUGGCCCACGUGUGGGUUUUUGUAGGUACCGCAUGAAUAAGGACCGGCUAAUUCCGUGCCAGCAGCCGCGGUAAUACGGAAGGUCCGGGCGUUAUCCGGAUUUAUUGGGUUUAAAGGGAGCGUAGGCCGCGCCUUAAGCGUGUUGUGAAAUCCGGGUGCUCAACAUCCGGCUUGCAGCGCGAACUGGGGCGCUUGAGUGCGCAGAAAGUAGGCGGAAUUCGUGGUGUAGCGGUGAAAUGCUUAGAUAUCACGAGGAACUCCGAUUGCGAAGGCAGCCUACUGUAGCGCUACUGACGCUGAUGCUCGAAAGCGUGGGUAUCGAACAGGAUUAGAUACCCUGGUAGUCCACGCGGUAAACGAUGGAUGCUCGUUGUCGGCCCUUUGGGUCGGUGACCAAGCGAAAGCGUUAAGCAUCCCACCUGGGGAGUACGCCGGCAACGGUGAAACUCAAAGGAAUUGACGGA